rnacentral:rRNA from 1 species
UGUAGUGUCAAUGAUGAUGCAUACAUGUCAACUAUGGGUGUUGGCUCCAACAAUUCGCAUUGGUCUCAAACCAAUGACAUGCAUUUUGAAAACCAUGAGUUUGAGGUGGACGAGGAUGAUGAAGGCAUUGUCGACGCGUCGAAAGGAAGAGCGGGCAAUUACACCAAGGACGAUGACAUCUUACUAUGCAAUACUUGGUUGCAAGUGUCGAGGGAUCCAUCCGUUGGAGGUGAUCAAAGUAGAGAUACUUUUAAGGGGCGGAUGAAAGAACACUUUGAUGUUCGCAAUGUGAGUGGAAUUGACCGCUCCGAGAAAUCACUUCGGUCCCAGUGGUCAACAAUCAACUCAGAUUGUCAAAGGUGGGCGACCUAUCAAUGUUCAAAUUCAUUUUGUGUCCAAAAUGCCAUAUAUGCACUGCCCCGGCGAGUCGCGCGCGCUGCAUUUUUUACGCGCUGCUGGAGCGGCGUGCGCGCUGCAUUUUAG